GCGCUCGCUCUGCGCACGCGCCGCUCCGAGGCCCGGCGGCGCUCCGGGGGGUCGCGGAGGGCGCGCGGGACCGGCGGGACCCGGAGCUGUGAGGGCGGGAGGGGCUGGGGGGCUGCGGGGGCUCCGCUCGGCUCCGCUCGGCUCGGUUCGGCGCGGCUCCGCUCGGCUCCCGGGGCUGGCAGGGCUCACUGUGGAGCGCUCGGGAGGAGCACCAUUCCGUGUGGGGGCUCGUCGCGGAGGAGCCGGACCAGCUGCAGAGCCUGUUGCGGCCAAAGCAGUGCGAGCUGGCACCGGCUGUGCCAAAGCAGAGGAACUGCCCAGGCUGCCGGAGAUGCUGAGGAAGGGCCGAGGAAUUGGUGGUUACCGGGACAACCCAUGGGCUGUAGCUGAGCUCCACCCACCGCCUGUCCAAGGAGCUGCAGCUGAGGAACAAAGUGAAGCGGGAGCGGAAUGCCGGACUGCAGCACCAGAGGGAGCGUUGGAAGGAGCACAGCUUGGAGGCAGCGGUGCUGGAGAAGCGUGUCAGUGAGCUGCCAGAGCGCCUGGGGAAGAGAAAGGCAGCUCUGCCCCAGGAGGAGAAUGUACCGGUAAGUGCAGGAGUUGUCCUAACAACAACAACAUGAAUUUUGUUGCCUGGAAAAGUCUGAAGUAAAAACUUGCUUGUGGGGAGGGAGGGCUGUUCAGAUGCUGGACCUGUUGUCUUGAUCCAUUGUGUAGUGGAAGGCUUGUGGCAUUAAAGUCCUUUUCAUGGGGCAUUAGUGUUAACCUGCUUACUCUUUACAGACAAGAAACCUUUUUGUGCUGUCGUGUUUUUUUUUUUUAA